rnacentral:rRNA from 1 species
GGAUUAGAUACCCGGGUAGUCCACGCCGUAAACGAUGGGCACUAGGUGUGGGGGGUGUCGGACUCCCCCCGUGCCGCAGCUAACGCAUUAAGUGCCCCGCCUGGGGAGUACGGCCGCAAGGCUAAAAACUCAAAGGAAUUGACGGGGGCCCGCACAAGGCAGCGGAGCAUGUGGUUUAAUUCGACGCAACGCGAAGAACCUUACCUGGGCUUGACAUAUACCGAAAAGCUGCAGAGAUGUAGUGUCCUUCGGGCCGGUAUACAGGUGGUGCAUGGUUGUCGGUUCAGCUCGUGCCGUGAGGUGUUGGGUUAAG